rnacentral:sRNA from 1 species
UAGUAACUAUGGAAGAGGAGGCAUGUCCCAUGUUCUUAGAUGACGUUGUUAUAUCCGGUCUUAUUGUAGUGGGUGGAACCUUGGCGUUUUUACUGGGAAUAGGGAUAUUCAUCUAUCAGGAUUCGCACAAGAAAAAAGACGAAAGCAGUCACGUCAAAUAAUCACCCAUUGC